CGGGGUGUAGCACAGUGGUAGUGCGCUGCGUUCGGGACGCAGAGGCCGUAAGUUCAAUUCCUACCACCCCGACCA
rnacentral:tRNA from 1 species